rnacentral:rRNA from 1 species
AACUAACGCUGGCGGCGUGCCUAACACAUGCAAGUCGUACGAGAAAGUCGGCUUCGGCUGAUGAGUAAAGUGGCGCACGGGUGAGUAACGCGUGGAUAAUCUGCCCUUGAGUGUGGAAUAACGUACCGAAAGGUGCGCUAAUACCGCAUAAUGCCUGGCAACACAAGUUGUCCGGCCAAAGAAGGCCUCUGUUUACAAGCUUUUGCUCAAGGAUGAGUCCGCGUACCAUUAGCUAGUUGGUGGGGUAACGGCCUACCAAGGCUACGAUGGUUAGCUGGUCUGAGAGGAUGAUCAGCCACACUGGAACUGAGACACGGUCCAGACUCCUACGGGAGCAGCAGUGAGGAAUAUUGCGCAAUGGGGGCAACCCUGACGCAGCAACGCCGCGUGAGUGAGGAAGGUUUUCGGACUGUAAAGCUCUGUCGGAGGACGGGAAAGUAAAGUACGUAACCAGUCGGUACUAAUACUACCUAGUAGUAAUUAGUUAGGUACCGGUACCGUACGUAGGAAGGGAACG